GCAGAUGGCAUCCUCUCAUGUCCAUCUCUCUUCAAACUAGCAAAGAAAUUAAACCCACAACAAAACCCCUGCAUAUUUGCACGUAGAAACACAGAGUCACUCUAGCAUGCGUAUGUCACUUGCAUGAACUUGUCGAUCAGACGGUGCAGGUGUAGCCUGGCGGCGGCGUCUUGCCGCAGGUGAGGAGGAGCUGGAGCGCCAGGGGUAGGUAGAUGUUGAUGUUGAGGAGCUUGAGCUUGAUGGUGGUGCAGAGGCACACCGCCGCCUCCAGCUCCACCAGCCCCUCCAGCACCGGGCAGCACUUGUUCACCACGGGGUCGCCGAGCCCGACGUGCACCAGACCGCCCAGCAGGUCCACGCACGCCCCCAGCUUCAGCGAGUCCGCCGGGCAAGUCGGCGACGACGGCGUCGUCGGGGUCGAGGGAGGCGGCGGCGGGCACGGCGUCGAUGGGCUGCCCCCGCCUCCGCCGCCGGGCGGGUAGGUGACGGGCGGGCCGGUCACCGGAGGCGUCGUCGACGGCGGGCCGGUGAUAGGAGGGACGGUGACUGGGGGGCCGGUGAUCGGAGGGACUGUGACCGGUGGGCCCGUGAUCGGCGGGUACGUCACCGGCGGGCCGACGACCGGCGGCGUCGUCGGAGGGCCGGUGAUCGGCGGGUAG
rnacentral:lncRNA from 1 species